UACGGGGGGUGCGAGCGUUGUCCGGAAUCACUGGGCGUAAAGGGCGCGUAGGUGGUUUGAUAAGGGUGUGGUGAAAGUCCGGAGCUCAACUCCGGAUCUGCCGUGCCGACUGUCAAACUCGAGGGCUGUAGAGGCAGACGGAAUUCCGGGUGUAGCGGUGGAAUGCGUAGAGAUCCGGAGGAACACCGGUGGCGAAGGCGGGUCUCUGGGCAGUAACUGACACUAAGGCACGAAAGCUAGGGGAGCAAACAGG
rnacentral:rRNA from 1 species